rnacentral:lncRNA from 1 species
UCAUGAUGCAUCUGGAUGAGCCCAAUGAAUCUUCUGUCAUGAUGCAUGCAAUAACACUAGCAACCAUGGCGUCUUUUCUCUAUCAACGUUAGCAGGAUCAGCGGUAACAUCAAAUACAAAAGGAUACUGUCUUCAUCCACAUAAAAUACUAGAUAGUUUUCUUGUCUUUGAAUAUUUAUGCAGUUGAAUUAGGAAAAAUCAUAGAAAGGGAAAAAUAAUUUUUUUAAAAGGAACUCCCAGUCCUAAAUCUGAUAAAACCAAGAAAAGCUAAUUGCUCCACAAGGUG